GGGCUCCCGCAUGGCGGCGCGGGGCCGGCGGGGCGGCAUCGCCGCGAUGCGCCGCGAGGCCGAGGAGGUGGCCCAGGAGGCUGUGGAGGAGCCGCUGGUUGAGCCGCUGCUGGAGCCGGAGGGGGAGAGCUACGAGGAGUCUCCACAGGUGAGGGGACAGGGUGGCACCGCAGGGGAUGCAGGCUGUGCUCAGCGCCCUGGUGGCAUCGCUGUCGGGAGCGGAGCCAGGAGCCUGCCUGCUCCCCAGCACCCGGAGCGAGGAGCCUGGAGGUCAGGCAGGUGUGGUGCUGGGGGCACAGGGACUGCCUCAGCCGGGCUCUCUCACCGCUCUUUCUUUUCCCGUGCCGCAGGAGGAAUACCAGGAAUACGAGCCAGAGGCAUAAUGGAGCCCUGUCCUUGCCUCUUCCACCAGCAGCACAAUGAACCGCCGGUAGCCCCCUGCUCCUCCCCAGCCGGCCCCGGCCAGCACCCGCGUGCCAGGGAGGAGCAGGGGUGCCCCUGCCCCGUUCGCUCACAAGUUCUUCCUCCAGUUCCGUUCCAAGGGACCAUGUCCAUGUCUCCGUACCGUGUCUAGCAGUGAGAACCCGCUGUGUCCAAGCCCUGCAGCCCCAGCGUGUGCUCGAGCCGUGGGCGCUGCCCGCAGGGGCUGGUGUGUGUGUGUGUGUGUGUGUGUGUCCUUGGGGCCCGGGCUUACAGCUCUGUCUCCCUCCCAGCGCCGUAAGCCCCGGCUGCGUCCCGGUGUGUCUGUGUGUGUACAAAGCAUGUUUACCUGCGCGCGGGCUGCUGUACAUUUUGCUUGCAUGCGUGUCCCUGUGGUUCUGCUCUGGUCAUCGUGGAACUAAUUUUUUUUUUAUAUAUCUAUCUAUCUCUAUCUAUGGGUGGACGGGUCUUUUGCCUUUGUGAGCCCUCGGCGUCCAAGCCCUCUCCCCAGCCUGCUGGGUGGUGACGGUGCCCGCGCCCUCCCUGAGGUCCUGUAGUGCCGACGCUGUGUUGUGACGUGGCAUGGAUAUCCCCCCGCCCUCGUUGCUGGAUGUGCAAUAUGAGUGCAGCUGCCAGUGACACAGCUGCCACCGUGUCCAUGAAUAAAGCCAACUCUCGUCUGUAGCCCCCUGGUGCU
rnacentral:lncRNA from 1 species